UACGAAGGGGGCUAGCGUUGCUCGGAAUUACUGGGCGUAAAGCGCACGUAGGCGGUCUUUUAAGUCGGGGGUGAAAUCCUGGAGCUCAACUCCAGAACUGCCUCGAUACUGGAAGACUCGAGUCCGGGAGAGGUGAGUGGAACUGCGAGUGUAGAGGUGAAAUUCGUAGAUAUUCGGAAGAACACCAGUGGCGAAGGCGGCUCACUGGACUGGUAUUGACGCUGAGGUGCGAAAGCGUGGGGAGCAAACAGGGAUUA
rnacentral:rRNA from 1 species